rnacentral:rRNA from 1 species
GACGAACGCUGGCGGCGUGCUUAACACAUGCAAGUCGAACGAAGUGGCGAACGGGUGAGUAACGCGUAAUCAACCUGCUCUUCAGAGGGGGACACCAGUGGGAAACGACUGCUAAUAACGCAUACUGAAGGAGGGGAUUGCGUCUGAUUAGCUAGUUGGAGGGGUAACGGCCCACAAAGGCGAUGAUCAGUAGCCGGGCGUGAUGGAAUGACGGCGACAAUGGGACUGAGACACGGGCCAGACGCCUGCGGGUUGGAGGAGGGGGGGAUCUUCCGCAAUGGACGAAAGUCUGACGGUGCAACUCCGCCUGAGUGAGGACGGCCUGCGGGUUGUAAAGCUCGGUUAAUCGGGACGCGGUACCGGAAUAGAAAGCCACGGCUAACUACGUGCCAGCAGCCGCGGUAAUUC